UACGUAGGGCGCAAGCGUUGUCCGGAAUUAUUGGGCGUAAAGAGCUCGUAGGCGGUUUGUCACGUCGGAUGUGAAAGCCCGGGGCUUAACCCCGGGUCUGCAUUCGAUACGGGCAGACUAGAGUGUGGUAGGGGAGAUCGGAAUUCCUGGUGUAGCGGUGAAAUGCGCAGAUAUCAGGAGGAACACCGGUGGCGAAGGCGGAUCUCUGGGCCAUUACUGACGCUGAGGAGCGAAAGCGUGGGGAGCAAACAGG
rnacentral:rRNA from 1 species